rnacentral:rRNA from 1 species
CUGCGGUUAAAAGGCUCGUAGUUGAAUGUCAGUUAAUAUACGCGUAGAGGUGCCGGGACGUUGCGAACUUUGGUUUUCGGAUCAUUGCGAGCCGUCUCUCCAAGUGCAUCUCUCGCGGGCUAACGAUUCGAUUAGCGGGUAAAGUGCUUCGGUACUUAGCCCGUUAGUUGACUCCUUGAGUAAAUCAGAGUGCUCAAAGCAGU